GGGAACCAUUCCUCCACGCCGCUCAGGAAAAUCCAAGAUGGCGCCGACCAUGAGGUCGCGUCCAUCCAUGGUUCCACCCCCCAAAAUGAUAUGAACGUGCGCAUGACGUCACGACGUCAUCGCACGCGAACAUUCUGGGGUCAGAGGUCACCCUCUGACCAAUCAGAGCCUAUAAAGGGAUAUUUAAAUCCCUAAUUCAUCCCAGUACAUUGCCCUGUCGUGGUUUCCUGUUCCUGGUUCCCUAGAGUGAAUAUUUUGUGAAUAUUACUUCCUGGUAUCCUGAUCUUGGCUUUUCCCUGGUUAUUCCGAAUUCUGGUUCCCCUGACUUGGCUUGUUUAAACGGUAUCUGAGUUUUUCUGGCUUCCUUGACCUCGGCUUUCCCUUUGGCCAUUCUCUAUCUCUAGCGUAUUAGUCCGGCCAUUCUUUUGUAUGUAUAUGUUUACAUAGUUUCUGCGUGUUGGACCACACUAGCAGCCAUGACACACUCUUCAUAAAAUGUACCUAGAUUAUAUUCCCAAAAAGUUCACUGAACAUAGUAACCAUGAACGCUUUGGAUUUUAAUAAGUCAUAUCCAGGCACAGGAUGGAGGUCAAGCCAAUGACUUAUAAGGAAAUAUCAACACCAUCAGUGCCAAUAAUAAUAUGGAAGAGAUGACACAUUCUCUAUGCAACACUAAGCAGCUGUCUGAUAAUGUUUGGGAGCUCUGGCUAUUAAUGGACUCAGCUGCUCAUCUGCUGAUGCUCACAACAUCUCUCUUUGCCUCCUUCAUUCUGUCAGAAUCUACUUAGAUCAUUAGUGACUACAGUCAGGUCCGUAAAUAUUGGGACAUCGACACAAUUCUAAUCUUUUUGGCUCUAUACACCACCACAAUGGAUUUGAAAUGAAAUGAACAAGAUGUGCUUUAACUGUAGACUUUCAGCUUUAAUUUGAGGGUGUUUACAUCCAAAUCAGGUGAACGGUGUAGGAAUUACAACAGUUUGUAAAUGUGCCUCACACUUUUCAAGGGACCAAAUGUAAUGGGACAAUUGGCUGCUCAGCUGUUCCAUGGCCAGGUGUGUGUUAUUCCCUCAUUAUCCCAUUUACAAGUUGCAGAUAAAAGGUCCGGAGUUCAUUUCAAGUGUGCUAUUUGCAUUUGGACUCUGUUGCUGUCAACUCUCAAUAUGAGAUCCAAAGAGCUGUCACUAUCAGUGAAGCAAGCCAUCAUUAGGCUGAAAAAACAAAACAAACCCGUCAGAGAGAUAGCAAAAACAUUAGGUGUGGCCAAAUCAAUUGCUUGGAACAUCCUUAAAAAGAAAGAAUACACUGGUGAGCUCAACAACACCAAAAGACCCGGAAGACCAUGGAAAACAACUGUGAUUGAUGACCGAAGAAUUCUUUCCCUGGUGAAGAAAACACCCUUCACAACAGUUGACCAGAUCAAGAACACUCUCCAGGAGGUAGGUGUAUGUGUGUCAAAGUCAACAAUCAAGAGAAGACUUCACCAGAGUGAAUACAGAGGGUUCACCAUAAGAUGUAAACCAUUAGUGAGCCUCAAAA